AUUGAACGCUGGCGGCAGGCCUAACACAUGCAAGUCGAACGAGUGGCGGACGGGUGAGUAAUGUCUGGGAAACUGCCUGAUGGAGGGGGAUAACUACUGGAAACGGUAGCUAAUACCGCAUACCAUCGGAUGUGCCCAGAUGGGAUUAGCUAGUAGGUGGGGUAAAGGCUCACCUAGGCGACGAUCCCUAGCUGGUCUGAGAGGAUGACCAACCCACAUGGGAAGGAGGAACGGUCCAGACUCCCACGGGAGGCAGCAGUGGGGGAUAAUGGACCAUGGGGGGAAGCCCGGAUGAGCCAUGGCGGGGGGAUGAAGAAGGCCUUCGGGUUGUUAAAUACUUUCAGGGGGGAAGCGUUACCCGCAGAAGAAGCACCGGCUAACUCCGUGCCAGCAGCCGCGGUAAUAC
rnacentral:rRNA from 1 species